UCAACACUUAGCAAAAUAUCAACAUUUAGAGCCCUUUUUUUUCCCCACUGUUUCGGCCAGCCAAGGGGAGAUCCAAUCCCAUUUUUUUAACUUCCCUAAAAUUAUUUCCUUGGUGUUAACCCACUAUAUUGAGGUCCCUAAGUAGCGUGGAAGAGUUGUUUGGGUCAUCCAACCAUUUGUUGUACCCAUUUGCAAACCCUAGCUAUUUGGUGGAUUGAAGAGAAAAGACCUUGGGGAGCCCGAGGCGUAGAUUUGGAGUGGCUUUAGAUUGGCUAGCUUGGAAGUGCGUUCGAGGUACAGACGCACAGUUCAGUGAUCCCUCAGUUUAGGAUAUCCCCUUCAGCUAUUCGGAGUGCUCUUCUCAUUUCAGAGCAUACACUUUUGAUGACUAUGUACUUGAGAGUCACUAAAACAGUCAAGUUAAACGUUAAGGAAUCAGAUAGGAUUGAAAAUGUCAAAGCGUUGCUACAUGAUAAGGAGGGCAUACGGGUAUGUCAUCAGCAACUUGUUUCAGAAGAUAAUAGGCUAAUGGAUGAACGGAAGCUUGUUGAUUAUGGCAUUUGCGAAAACUCCACCCUUCAUACUUAUGUGGAAGAUUCAGUGAUCCCAGUGAUAUUAUUAUAUGUAAAAAGAUCAUAUGCUGAAGGUGCAUUUACGGUUUAUUCAAGGAUUUAUGAUACCGUCAAGGAUGUCAAAUCUAGGAUUGCGGCCAAAGAAGGAACAAACUCGGAAGAAUUCUCUCUUAUUCAUGACGACUCCCUCUUACAGGUGGUACCGGGAACAAUGCAGAUCUUUAUCAGGAAAUGUAACAGUGAAAGUAUAAUGCUAGAUGUGCACAGGCACGAUUUAAUAAAGGAUGUGAAGGGCAUGCUUCUAAAUAAGCUAGCAAUACCACUUCAUUUGCAAAAUCUUGUGUUUGCGAGAAAAUGUUUAGCUGAUUCCCGGGAUUUAGCUAGCUACAAUAUUCACAAGGAGUCGAUUCUGUAUUUGGUCCUACACAUGACACCCAACGUCGACAAUGCCAGAUGAAAUUAUGUUCAGUCAUAGGUGUGGCAAAUUCUCUUACCAGCUCAACCCCCAUUGCUCAUUUGAAUAAGUUAACCGCGAACGAAGUAAAACAACCCGUGAAGGAACUAAUCGUAGGUGGCACACUUGUGAACUUCUCUCUCUGUCUUGAUGACUAUGGAAUCACUGGAGUUGUUCCUCGUGUAUUGAGUGCUUUGGCCUACUUGUGCCAUAUAUACAAAGACAGCAAGUUGUCCGCUGCAUCGCUUGUGAACAUGUUGUUUUUGAUAUUUGGUAUGUUAUGAACUUUUGUUGUUUUAAAAUCCUCUUGGAUUACCUAGUUGCAUGCAUGGACCAAAGUAACAUCGAAAACCAAUAUUGGACCAUUGUUUUAAUGUGCUUUAUCAGGGUUGUUGAAUCAAUCUAUUUCAUAAUACUGAAAAUCAUGAUUAGAAGUUCCUUAACUUGUUUAAUUUGCUUUUCAAAUUCUGUUGAAUCCCUCUAUUUGAUUUCAAAUGUCCUUAAAUAUGUCUAGGUUUUUUCUUUAUCUUAUAUAUGCUAUUCGAUAGUCGGAUUACUGAAGCUUCAUUAUCAGUUUUAUUUGGAAUGAACUAUAUGUUUCUCUACCAGAGCUGUAAAUAGAGUUGUUGAGUCUAUGAAAAAGAACAUAAGGUUUGAAGUG